rnacentral:hammerhead_ribozyme from 1 species
AUCCAGCUGACAUGUCCCAAAUAGGACGAAACGCCCGUCUUGGAU